rnacentral:sRNA from 1 species
UUCGUCUAUGGAAAGCCUAUACGGUCGUU